UUACGUCCAAAUUGCAAUCUGAGAAUUAGUUUGUGGAGCUUUGAUUUAGCGGGUAUUCAGGAAUUUUAUGUAAAACAAGGAAACAGAGAAGAGGAAUAGAGCUGUGCAAAUGACCUCCGGGGUGCAGGAAGGACUCAAACGCUCACUUCUCCUUUGAGGUUAUUACAGUCUUUUGCUUGUCUUGACAUUUAGACAUAGCCUAUGUCUCUCCGUGCGGUUUGUAAAUAGCUGAGAUAGUUGAAAAACAGGUUGAACGCAUUUCCAGGGGUGUUUUGGUUUGCCUGUAUUUAUUCCUCAGUACCGCUGUGCGAACGGCCAGAACGACACAGAGGGGAUUAUUUUCCCGGGUUGUGCAAACUGGAUCCUUGAUAUCGUAGUUGCCUUGCGGACAUUGGCUGCCCACGAGCUCUAUUCCUUCACAUUUUGCCUGCUCCUCGUUUCACCAGAAAACACAGUAUCUGUAGCCACACGGAGACUUUUUCCUCUUUCCAUUUUCCCCUUCUUCCCCUCCCUAGACCUCGCUGGGCUUUGACGUCAUGUGUGCUCCUUUUAGUUGCCAUAGCAACCCCAUUCCCCAAGCCCUCUGUCGGUCUCCUCUGGUAGGUUUCACAAUGGUACAGGCAGCAUCACGCUGCACAAUGGUUUCCAGGCAGUGAAAGAGGGUGAUUCAGCAAGGCACUCUUCUUCUUUAAAGCCUCCCUUUCUCUUUUUGUUUUUAUGGGGGUGGAUGGUGCUUGUUAUAUGCUUACCUUUUUCUUUUCUUUUUACGUUUUUACAGUUUUCCUUUUUCUUCCUCACCCCUCAAUUUCUAGGGGCUUUGAGUGACUUUAAGAUUGAAUUUUCUUGUAAAUUACCUAUCCAUCAUUAAUUUUAAGCAAUCUCCCCACCUCCAAAGACUCUCUUCCUAAUUGCAGUUUGGAAUGUGGUUAAUGAAAGUCAAGUAGGGAGGAUUUUGGGGGCAAACACUGCCGGAUCAGGAUCGUAGUUCUCAGGCACGGAAUGGCUAGUGUGAGAAACAUCAACAGCAGGACCAUCUCCAGUCUUCGUUAUGGCAACUCAUGCAAGAAACUGUUGAAUUAGAACCAUUUCCUGUAGAUGAAAAACCAUACAAGCAGUGGUCUAUCUAAUCUUUGGCUGUAAGGUGAACUUCAGGACUGACUUCAGUAUUGAGUUAAAAGGGUGUCCAGGGACCAUACUCUCCGGGUUUCUCCAGUCUCUGUCAGCCCAGUAAGUCUGGUCUUUUUUUGUGAGUUAAACUUUUGUUCUACAUUUUUCUCCUGCCCUGUCCAGGACCCUCUAUUGUGAUCCCUGUUACAGCAGUCAGUGGUGGUACCUGGGCACCAUCUAGUUGUGCUGGACUCAGUCUGGUGCGGCUGUGGUAGUUGUGUCCAUUAGUCCUUUGGAAUAAUCUUCCCCUUGUAUCUUUGGUUUUCUUCAUCUCCCUUGCUCCCAACAGGGUGAGACCAGUGGAGUAUCUUAGAUGGCUGUUCACAAGCUUUUAAGA